CAUAUCGGUCUUUCGGGGCUGCGAGUCUGCCGGGUAGGCGGGUGUCCUCUGAAAUGCUUCAGCUUCCCGGAGUAGCAGCAGUAUGGCUCCACAUGGCAUCUUGUGGACAGUUAUAUGCCAAAGGAAUGAGUACGGAGGUCCUAAACAGCCUCAAUAUCUGGGCACAAGGUACUAGAUAGAACAGAAGUAGAAAUGGUGGAGUCUGAUUUGUUUGGGCCAGCUUUAUUUUUCUAUUACUGGACAUACAUUUUGAUCUGGAUGGUGUGACUGGGUCCAGUUUGGAGACCUUUUUAAAUAAAGGUACAAAGAAUCACCUUGGGAAGCAGUGUGUAAGAAGUUGAAAGCAAAGGCAGGAGUGAAGCUGGGCAAGAUUUUUAUAUGCCUGUCAUCCCAUCUUCAUUAGCCUGAAGCAUGACCAUUGCCUGAGCCCAGGAGUCGGUGGGUCAGCCGAAGCAAUAUAGUUGCCUCACGAUUGGAAGGUGUGUGAAAUUCUGAGCUCUUUAAGGGCUUUUGUGGCACCUGCAGGCACAUCACAAUCCUUAGAAAGGCAGCUGGAAUGGAUUCUCUUGGGAUAGAAGAUUGAAUGCGUCCAUCACUUCAGUUUCUGAAAGUUUUUGGGGCUGAGGGUUGUACCCAUGAAGUGUAUUUCAAGUAGGAUGGGGAAGGGAAUAAAUAUGCCUAAUAAAACUAAU